rnacentral:rRNA from 1 species
AUUGAACGCUGGCGGCAUGCCUUACACAUGCAAGUCGAACGGCAGCACGGGGGCAACCCUGGUGGCGAGUGGCGGACGGGUGAGUAAUGCAUCGGAACGUGCCCUGAAGUGGGGGAUAACGCAGCGAAAGCUACGCUAAUACCGCAUAUUCUGUGAGCAGGAAAGCAGGGGAUCGCAAGACCUUGCGCUUUGGGAGCGGCCGAUGUCGGAUUAGCUAGUUGGUGGGUAAAGGCCUACCAAGGCGACGAUCCGUAGCGGGUCUGAGAGGAUGAUCGCCACACUGGGACUGAGACACGGCCCAGACUCCUACGGAGGCAGCAGUGGGGAAUUUUGGACAAUGGGCGAAAGCCUGAUCCAGCCAUGCCGCGUGAGUGAAG